rnacentral:rRNA from 1 species
CCUACGGGAGGCAGCAGUGGGGAAUAUUGGUCAAUGGGGGAAACCCUGAAGCAGCAACGCCGCGUGGAGGAUGACGGUUUUCGGAUUGUUAACUCCUUUUGUUAGAGAAGAUAAUGACGGUAUCUAACGAUUAAGCACCGGCUAACUCCGUGCCGGCAGCCGCGGUAAUCAGGAGGGUACCAGCGUUAAUCGGAAUCACGGGGCGUAAUGGGGGCGUAGGUGGGUUAGCAAGUCCGAUGGGAAAUCCUAAGGGUUAACCAUAGAACUGCAUUUGAAACUGUUAUUCUAGAGUAUGGGAGAGGUAGGUGGAAUUCUUGGUGUAGGGGUAAAA